rnacentral:lncRNA from 1 species
GCUUUGGAGACACACUUUGCCCACAGAACUAUUCCAACCCAUGGUCAAUGAAAAGCCCAGCCCUACCUGUAGAACAAAGCUUUGCAGUUUGUACCCAACAGUCAUUGUCAGGGACCCAGAACUAAUAAUCAGGACUUUUAGGCUGGGUGAAUAAAAAAUUGAUGGUUGAAAAUUUAAGAAAGAGUUAUCUUGUUUGUGUUUUUACAUUUUGGAGGAGUUGACAGAUAAAGACAAGGCUUGGGGGUAUUUACAAUGACAAGGAGGUGCUUGGAGCUGGAGUUGAACCAGCGACCUUAGAAUCACAGCGUUUCAUACAAGGAGCAUCUUACAGUCCACUGCUCUACCAACUGAGCUAUCAAGGUGCUCUCUAGUCACAACAGCACAAAACAUAGUGGCUUUGGAGACACACUAUGCCCACAGAACUAUUCCAACCCAUGGUCAAUGAAAAGCCAAGCCCUACCUGUAGAACAAAGCUUUGCAGUUUGUACCCAACAGUCAUUGCCAGGGACCCAGAACUAAUAAUCAGGACUUUUAGGCUGGGUGGAUAAAAAAUUGAUGGUUGAAAAUUUAAGAAUGAGUUAACUUGUUUGUGUUUUUACAUUUUGGAGGAGUUAAUUGAUAAACACAUGGCUUGGGGGUAUUUCCAAUCACAAGGAGGUGCUUGGAGCUGGAGUUGAACCAGCAACAUUAGGAUCACAGUGUUUCACACAAGGAGCAUCUUACAGUCCACCGCUCUACCAACUGAGCUUAUCAAGGUGCUCUCUAAUCACAACAGCAGAAAACAUAGUGGCUUUGGAGACACACUAUGCCCACAGAACUAUUCCAACCCAUGGUCAAUGAAAAGCCCAGCCCUACCUGUAGAACAAAGCUUUGCAGUUUGUACCCAACAGUCAUAGCCAGGGACCCAGAACUAAUAAUCAGGACUUUUAGGCUGGGUGAAUAAAAAAUUGAUGGUUGAAAAUUUAAGAAAGAGUUAUCUUGUUUGUGUUUUUACAUUUUGGAGGAGUUGACAGAUAAAGACAAGGCUUGGGGGUAUUUCCAAUGACAAGGAGGUGCUUGGAGCUGGAGUUGAACCAGCGACCUUGGGAUCACAGCGUUUCACACAAGGAGCAUCUUACAGUCCACUGCUCUACCAACUGAGCUAUCAAGGUGCUCUCUAGUCACAACAGCAGAAAACAUAGUGGCUUUGGAGACACACUUUGCCCACAGAACUAUUCCAACCCAUGGUCAAUGAAAGGCCCAGCCCUAUCUGUAGAACAAAGCUUUGCAGUUUGUACCCAACAGUCAUAGCCAGGGACCCAGAACUAAUAAUCAGGACGUUUAGGCUGGGUGGAUAAAAAAUUGUUGGUGGAAAAUUUAAGAAAGAGUUAUCUUGUUUGUGUUUUUACAUUUUGGAGGAGUUGACAGAUAAAGACAAGGCUUGGGGGUAUUUCCAAUCACAAGGAGGUGCUUGGAGCUGGAGUUGAACCAGCGACCUUAGGAUCACAGCGUUUCACACAAGGAGCAUCUAACAGUCCACCGCUGUACCAACUGAGCUAUCAAGGUGCUCUAUAGUCACAACAGCAGAAAACAUAGUGACUUUGGAGACACACUUUGCCCACAGAACUAUUCCAACCCAUGGUCAAUGAAAAGCCCAGCCCUACCUGUAGAACAAAGCUUUGCAGUUUGUAACCAACAGUCAUUGCCAGGGACCCAGAACUAAUAAUCAGGACUUUUAGGCUGGGUGAAUAAAAAAUUGAUGGUUGAAAAUUUAAGAAAGAGUUAUCUUGUUUGUGUUUUUACAUUUUGAAAGGGGUUGACAGAUAAAGACAAGGCUUGGGGGUAUUUCCAAUGACAAGGAGGUGCUUGGAGCUGGAGUUGAACCAGCGACCUUAGGAUCAGAGCGUUUCACACAAGGAGCAUCUUACAGUCCACCGCUCUACCAACUGAGCUAUCAAGGUGCUCUAUAGUCACAACAGCAGAAAACAUAGUGGCUUUGGAGACACACUAUGCCCACAGAACUAUUCCAACCCAUGGUCAAUGAAAAGCCCAGCCCUACCUGUAGAACAAAGCUUUGCAGUUUGUACCCAACAGUCAUUGCCAGGGACCCAGAACUAAUAAUCAGGACGUUUAGGCUGGGUGGAUAAAAAAUUGUUGGUGGAAAAUUUAAGAAAGAGUUAUCUUGUUUGUGUUUUUACAUUUUGGAGGAGUUGACAGAUAAAGACAAGGCUUGGGGGUAUUUCCAAUGACAAGGAGGUGCUUGGAGCUGGAGUUGAACCAGCGACCUUGGGAUCACAGCGUUUCACACAAGGAGCAUCUUACAGUCCACCGCUCUACCAACUGAGCUAUCAAGGUGCUCUAUAGUCACAACAGCACAAAACAUAGUGGCUUUGGAGACACACUUUGCCCACAGAACUAUUCCAACCCAUGGUCAAUGAAAAGCCCAGCCCUACCUGUAGAACAAAGCUUUGCAGUUUGUACCCAACAGUCAUUGUCAGGUACCCAGAACUAAUAAUCAGGACUUUUAGGCUGGGUGAAUAAAAAAUUGAUGGUUGAAAAUUUAAGAAAGAGUUAUCUUGUUUGUGUUUUUACAUUUUGGAGGAGUUGACAGAUAAAGACAAGGCUUGGGGGUAUUUCCAAUGACAAGGAGGUGCUUGGAGCUGGAGUUGAACCAGCGACCUUAGAAUCACAGCGUUUCAUACAAGGAGCAUCUUACAGUCCACCGCUCUACCAACUGAGCUAUCAAGGUGCUCUAUAGUCACAACAGCACAAAACAUAGUGGCUUUGGAGACACACUAUGCCCACAGAACUAUUCCAACCCAUGGUCAAUGAAAAGCCAAGCCCUACCUGUAGAACAAAGCUUUGCAGUUUGUACCCAAAAGUCAUUGCCAGGGACCCAGAACUAAUAAUCAGGACUUUUAGGCUGGGUGAAUAAAAAAUUGAUGGUUGAAAAUUUAAGAAAGAGUUAUCUUGUUUGUGUUUUUAGAUUUUGGAGAAGUUAAUUGAUAAACACAUGGCUAGGGGGUAUUUCCAAUCACAAGGAGGUGCUUGGAGCUGGAGUUGAACCAGCAACAUUAGGAUCACAGUGUUUCACACAAGGAGCAUCUUACAGUCCACUGCUCUACCAACUGAGCUUAUCAAGGUGCUCUAUAGUCACAACAGCAGAAAACAUAGUGGCUUUGGAGACACACUAUGCCCACAGAACUAUUCCAACCCAUGGUCAAUGAAAAGCCCAGCCCUACCUGUAGAACAAAGCUUUGCAGUUUGUACCCAACAGUCAUAGCCAGGGACCCAGAACUAAUAAUCAGGACUUUUAGGCUGGGUGAAUAAAAAAUUGAUGGUUGAAAAUUUAAGAAAGAGUUAUCUUGUUUGUGUUUUUACAUUUUGGAGGAGUUGACAGAUAAAGACAAGGCUUGGGGGUAUUUCCAAUGACAAGGAGGUGCUUGGAGCUGGAGUUGAACCAGCGACCUUAGAAUCACAGCGUUUCAUACAAGGAGCAUCUUACAGUCCACCGCUCUACCAACUGAGCUAUCAAGGUGCUCUCUAGUCACAACAGCACAAAACAUAGUGGCUUUGGAGACACACUAUGCCCACAGAACUAUUCCAACCCAUGGUCAAUGAAAAGCCAAGCCCUACCUGUAGAACAAAGCUUUGCAGUUUGUACCCAAAAGUCAUUGCCAGGGACCCAGAACUAAUAAUCAGGACUUUUAGGCUGGGUGAAUAAAAAAUUGAUGGUUGAAAAUUUAAGAAAGAGUUAUCUUGUUUGUGUUUUUAGAUUUUGGAGAAGUUAAUUGAUAAACACAUGGCUAGGGGGUAUUUCCAAUCACAAGGAGGUGCUUGGAGCUGGAGUUGAACCAGCAACAUUAGGAUCACAGUGUUUCACACAAGGAGCAUCUUACAGUCCACUGCUCUACCAACUGAGCUUAUCAAGGUGCUCUAUAGUCACAACAGCAGAAAACAUAGUGGCUUUGGAGACACACUAUGCCCACAGAACUAUUCCAACCCAUGGUCAAUGAAAAGCCCAGCCCUACCUGUAGAACAAAGCUUUGCAGUUUGUACCCAACAGUCAUAGCCAGGGACCCAGAACUAAUAAUCAGGACUUUUAGGCUGGGUGAAUAAAAAAUUGAUGGUUGAAAAUUUAAGAAAGAGUUAUCUUGUUUGUGUUUUUACAUUUUGGAGGAGUUGACAGAUAAAGACAAGGCUUGGGGGUAUUUCCAAUGACAAGGAGGUGCUUGGAGCUGGAGUUGAACAAGCGACCUUGGGAUCACAGCGUUUCACACAAGGAGCAUCUUACAGUCCACCGCUCUACCAACUGAGCUAUCAAGGUGCUCUGUAGUCACAACAGCAGAAAACAUAGUGGCUUUGGAGACACACUUUGCCCACAGAACUAUUCCAACCCAUGGUCAAUGAAAAGCCCAGCCCUACCUGUAGAACAAAGCUUUGCAGUUUGUAACCAACAGUCAUUGCCAGGGACCCAGAACUAAUAAUCAGGACUUUUAGGCUGGGUGAAUAAAAAAUUGAUGGUUGAAAAUUUAAGAAAAAGUUAUCUUGUUUGUGUUUUUACAUUUUGAAAGGGGUUGACAGAUAAAGACAAGGCUUGGGGGUAUUUCCAAUGACAAGGAGGUGCUUGGAGCUGGAGUUGAACCAGCGACCUUGGGAUCACAGCGUUUCACACAAGGAGCAUCUUACAGUCCACCGCUCUACCAACUGAGCUAUCAAGGUGCUCUAUAGUCACAACAGCACAAAACAUAGUGGCUUUGGAGACACACUUUGCCCACAGAACUAUUCCAACCCAUGGUCAAUGAAAAGCCCAGCCCUACCUGUAGAACAAAGCUUUGCAGUUUGUACCCAACAGUCAUUGUCAGGGACCCAGAACUAAUAAUCAGGACUUUUAGGCUGGGUGAAUAAAAAAUUGAUGGUUGAAAAUUUAAGAAAGAGUUAUCUUGUUUGUGUUUUUACAUUUUGGAGGAGUUGACAGAUAAAGACAAGGCUUGGGGGUUUUUCCAAUGACAAGGAGGUGCUUGGAGCUGGAGUUGAACCAGCGACCUUAGAAUCACAGCGUUUCAUACAAGGAGCAUCUUACAGUCCACCGCUCUACCAACUGAGCUUUCAAGGUGGUCUCUAGUCACAACAGCACAAAACAUAGUGGCUUUGGAGACACACUAUGCCCACAGAACUAUUCCAACCCAUGGUCAAUGAAAAGCCCAGCCCGACCUGCAGAACAAAGCUUUGCAGUUUGUACCCAACAGUCAUUGUCAGGGACCCAGAACUAAUAAUGAGAACUUUUAAGGCUGGGUGAAAAAAAAAAAUUGUGUUUGAAAAUUUAAGAAAGAGUUAUCUUGUUUGUGUUUUUACAUUUUGGAGGAGUUGACAGAUAAAGACAAGGCUUGGGGGUAUUUCCAAUGACAAGGAGGUGCUUGGAGCUGGAGUUGAACCAGCGACCUUAGGAUCACAGCGUUUCACACAAGGAGCAUCUUACAGUCCACCGCUCUACCAACUGAGCUAUCAAGGUGCUCUCUAGUCACAACAGCAGAAAACAUAGUGGCUUUGGAGACACACUAUGCCCACAGAACUAUUCCAACCCAUGGUCAAUGAAAAGCCCAGCCCUACCUGUAGAACAAAGCUUUGCAGUUUGUACCCAACAGUCAUAGCCAGGGACCCAGAACUAAUAAUCAGGACGUUUAGGCUGGGUGGAUAAAAAAUUGUUGGUGGAAAAUUUAAGAAAGAGUUAUCUUGUUUGUGUUUUUACAUUUUGGAGGAGUUGACAGAUAAAGACAAGGCUUGGGGUAUUUCCAAUGACAAGGAGGUGCUUGGAGCUGGAGUUGAACCAGCGACCUUGGGAUCACAGCGUUUCACACAAGGAGCAUCUUACAGUCCACCGCUCUACCAACUGAGCUAUCAAGGUGCUCUAUAGUCACAACAGCACAAAACAUAGUGGCUUUGGAGACACACUUUGCCCACAGAACUAUUCCAACCCAUGGUCAAUGAAAAGCCCAGCCCUACCUGUAGAACAAAGCUUUGCAGUUUGUACCCAACAGUCAUUGUCAGGGACCCAGAACUAAUAAUCAGGACUUUUAGGCUGGGUGAAUAAAAAAUUGAUGGUUGAAAAUUUAAGAAAGAGUUAUCUUGUUUGUGUUUUUACAUUUUGGAGGAGUUGACAGAUAAAGACAAGGCUUGGGGGUAUUUCCAAUGACAAGGAGGUGCUUGGAGCUGGAGUUGAACCAGCGACCUUAGGAUCACAGCGUUUCAUACAAGGAGCAUCUUACAGUUCACUGCUCUACCAACUGAGCUAUCAAGGUGUUCUCUAGUCACAACAGCACAAAACAUAGUGGCUUUGGAGACACACUAUGCCCACAGAACUAUUCCAACCCAUGGUCAAUGAAAAGCCAAGCCCUACCUGUAGAACAAAGCUUUGCAGUUUGUACCCAACAGUCAUUGCCAGGGACCCAGAACUAAUAAUCAGGACUUUUAGGCUGGGUGGAUAAAAAAUUGAUGGUUGAAAAUUUAAGAAUGAGUUAACUUGUUUGUGUUUUUACAUUUUGGAGGAGUUAAUUGAUAAACACAUGGCUUGGGGGUAUUUCCAAUCACAAGGAGGUGCUUGGAGCUGGAGUUGAACCAGCAACAUUAGGAUCACAGUGUUUCACACAAGGAGCAUCUUACAGUCCACUGCUCUACCAACUGAGCUUAUCAAGGUGCUCUCUAAUCACAACAGCAGAAAACAUAGUGGCUUUGGAGACACACUAUGCCCACAGAACUAUUCCAACCCAUGGUCAAUGAAAAGCCCAGCCCUACCUGUAGAACAAAGCUUUGCAGUUUGUACCCAACAGUCAUAGCCAGGGACCCAGAACUAAUAAUCAGGACUUUUAGGCUGGGUGAAUAAAAAAUUGAUGGUUGAAAAUUUAAGAAAGAGUUAUCUUGUUUGUGUUUUUACAUUUUGGAGGAGUUGACAGAUAAAGACAAGGCUUGGGGGUAUUUCCAAUGACAAGGAGGUGCAUGGAGCUGGAGUUGAACCAGCGACCUUGGGAUCACAGCGUUUCACACAAGGAGCAUCUUACAGUCCACCGCUCUACCAACUGAGCUAUCAAGGUGCUCUGUAGUCACAACAGCAGAAAACAUAGUGGCUUUGGAGACACACUUUGCCCACAGAACUAUUGCAACCCAUGGUCAAUGAAAAGCCCAGCCCUACCUGUAGAACAAAGCUUUGCAGUUUGUAACCAACAGUCAUUGCCAGGGACCCAGAACUAAUAAUCAGGACUUUUAGGCUGGGUGAAUAAAAAAUUGAUGGUUGAAAAUUUAAGAAAGAGUUAUCUUGUUUGUGUUUUUACAUUUUGAAAGGGGUUGACAGAUAAAGACAAGGCUUGGGGGUAUUUCCAAUGACAAGGAGGUGCUUGGAGCUGGAGUUGAACCAGCGACCUUAGGAUCAGAGCGUUUCACACAAGGAGCAUCUUACAGUCCACUGCUCUACCAACUGAGCUAUCAAGGUGCUCUAUAGUCACAACAGCAGAAAACAUAGUGGCUUUGGAGACACACUAUGCCCACAGAACUAUUCCAACCCAUGGUCAAUGAAAAGCCCAGCCCUACCUGUAGAACAAAGCUUUGCAGUUUGUACCCAACCGUCAUUGCCAGGGACCCAGAACAAAUAAUCAGGACUUUUAGGCUGGGUGGAUAAAAAAUUGUUGGUGGAAAAUUUAAGAAAGAGUUAUCUUGUUUGUGUUUUUACAUUUUGGAGGAGUUGACAGAUAAAGACAAGGCUUGGGGGUAUUUCCAAUGACAAGGAGGUGCUUGAAGCUGGAGCUGAACCAGCGACCUUGGGAUCACAGCGUUUCACACAAAGAGCAUCUUACAGUCCACUGCUCUACCAACUGAGCUAUCAAGGUGCUCUCUAGUCACAACAGCAGAAAACAUAGUGGCUUUGGAGACACACUUUGCCCACAGAACUAUUCCAACCCAUGGUCAAUGAAAGGCCCAGCCCUACCUGUAGAACAAAGCUUUGCAGUUUGUAACCAACAGUCAUUGCCAGGGACCCAGAACUAAUAAUCAGGACUUUUAGGCUGGGUGAAUAAAAAAUUGAUGGUUGAAAAUUUAAGAAAGAGUUAUCUUGUUUGUGUUUUUACAUUUUGGAGGAGUUGACAGAUAAAGACAAGGCUUGGGGGUAUUUCCAAUGACAAGGAGGUGCUUGGAGCUGGAGUUAAACCAGCGACCUUAGAAUCACAGCGCUUCAUACAAGGAGCAUCUUACAGUCCACCGCUCUACCAACUGAGCUAUCAAGGUGCUCUAUAGUCACAACAGCAGAAAACAUAGUGGCUUUGGAGACACACUUUGCCCACAGAACUAUUCCAACCCAUGGUCAAUGAAAGGCCCAGCCCUACCUGUAGAACAAAGCUUUGCAGUUUGUACCCAACAGUCAUUGCCAGGGACCCAGAACUAAUAAUCAGGACUUUUAGGCUGGGUGAAUAAAAAAUUGAUGGUUGAAAAUUAAAGAAAGAGUUAUCUUGUUUGUGUUUUUACAUUUUGGAGGAGUUGACAGAUAAAGACAAGGCUUUGGGGUAUUUCCAAUCACAAGGAGGUGCUUGGAGCUGGAGUUGAACCAGCGACCUUGGGAUCACAGCGUUUCACACAAGGAGCAUCUUACAGUCCACUGCUCUACCAACUGAGCUUAUCAAGGUGCUCUAUAGUCACAACAGCAGAAAACAUAGUGGCUUUGGAGAAACACUAUUCCCACAGAACUAUUCCAACCCAUGGUCAAUGAAAAGCCCAGCCCUACCUGUAGAACAAAGCUUUGCAGUUUGUACCCAACAGUCAUAGCCAGGGACCCAGAACUAAUAAUCAGGACUUUUAGGCUGGGUGAAUAAAAAAUUGAUGGUUGAAAAUUUAAGAAAGAGUUAUCUUGUUUGUGUUUUUACAUUUUGGAGGAGUUGACAGAUAAAGACAAGGCUUGGGGGUAUUUCCAAUGACAAGGAGGUGCUUGGAGCUGGAGUUGAACCAGCGACCUUAGGAUCACAGCGUUUCACACAAGGAGCAUCUAACAGUCCACCGCUCUACCAACUGAGCUAUCAAGGUGGUCUCUAGUCACAACAGCACAAAACAUAGUGGCUUUGGAGACACACUAUGCCCACAGAACUAUUCCAACCCAUGGUCAAUGAAAAGCCCAGCCCGACCUGCAGAACAAAGCUUUGCAGUUUGUACCCAACAGUCAUUGUCAGGGACCCAGAACUAAUAAUGAGAACUUUUAAGGCUGGGUGAAAAAAAAAUUGUGGUUGAAAAUUUAAAGAAGAGUUAUCUUGUUUGUGUUUUUACAUUUUGGAGGAGUUGAUUGAUAAAGACAAGGCUUGGGGGUAUUUCCAAUCACAAGGAGGUGCUUGGAGCUGGAGUUGAACCAGCAACAUUAGGAUCACAGUGUUUCACACAAGGAGCAUCUUACAGUCCACUGCUCUACCAACUGAGCUUAUCAAGGUGCUCUAUAGUCACAACAGCAGAAAACAUAGUGGCUUUGGAGACACACUAUGCCCACAGAACUAUUCCAACCCAUGGUCAAUGAAAAGCCCAGCCCUACCUGUAGAACAAAGCUUUGCAGUUUGUACCCAACAGUCAUAGCCAGGGACCCAGAACUAAUAAUCAGGACGUUUAGGCUGGGUGGAUAAAAAAUUGUUGGUGGAAAAUUUAAGAAAGAGUUAUCUUGUUUGUGUUUUUACAUUUUGGAGGAGUUGACAGAUAAAGACAAGGCUUGGGGGUAUUUCCAAUGACAAGGAGGUGCUUGGAGCUGGAGUUGAACCAGCGACCUUGGGAUCACAGCGUUUCCCACAAGGAGCAUCUUACAGUCCACCUCUCUACCAACUGAGCUAUCAAGGUGCUCUCUAGUCGCAACAGCAGAAAACAUAGUGGCUUUGGAGACACACUUUGCCCACAGAACUAUUCCAACCCAUGGUCAAUGAAAAGCCCAGCCCUACCUGUAGAACAAAGCUUUGCAGUUUGUAACCAACAGUCAUUGCCAGGGACCCAGAACUAAUAAUCAGGACUUUUAGGCUGGGUGAAUAAAAAAUUGAUGGUUGAAAAUUUAAGAAAGAGUUAUCUUGUUUGUGUUUUUACAUUUUGAAAGGGGUUGACAGAUAAAGACAAGGCUUGGGGGUAUUUCCAAUGACAAGGAGGUGCUUGGAGCUGGAGUUGAACCAGCGACCUUAGGAUCAGAGCGUUUCACACAAGGAGCAUCUUACAGUCCACUGCUCUACCAACUGAGCUUAUGAAGGUGCUCUCUAGUCACAACAGCAGAAAACAUAGUGGCUUUGGAGACACACUUUGCCCACAGAACUAUUCCAACCCAUGGUCAAUGAAAAGCCCAGCCCUACCUGUAGAACAAAGCUUUGCAGUUUGUACCCAACAGUCAUUGCCAGGGACCCAGAACAAAUAAUCAGGACUUUUAGGCUGGGUGGAUAAAAAAUUGUUGGUGGAAAAUUUAAGAAAGAGUUAUCUUGUUUGUGUUUUUACAUUUUGGAGGAGUUGACAGAUAAAGACAAGGCUUGGGGGUAUUUCCAAUCACAAGGAGGUGCUUGGAGCUGGAGUUGAACCAGCGACCUUGGGAUGACAGCGUUUCACACAAGGAGCAUCUUACAGUCCACUGCUCUACCAACUGAGCUUAUCAAGGUGCUCUCUAGUCACAACAGCAGAAAACAUAGUGGCUUUGGAGACACACUUUGCCCACAAACUAUUCCAACCCAUGGUCAGUGAAAGGCCCAGCCCUACCUGUAGAACAAAGCUUUGCAGUUUGUACCCAACAGUCAUAGCCAGGGACCCAGAACUAAUAAUCAGGACGUUUAGGCUGGGUGGAUAAAAAAUUGUUGGUGGAAAAUUUAAGAAAGAGUUAUCUUGUUUGUGUUUUUACAUUUUGGAGGAGUUGACAGAUAAAGACAAGGCUUGGGGGUAUUUCCAAUCACAAGGAGGUGCUUGGAGCUGGAGUUGAACCAGCGAACUUAGGAUCACAGCGUUUCACACAAGGAGCAUCUAACAGUCCACCGCUCUACCAACUGAGCUAUCAAGGUGGUCUCUAGUCACAACAGCACAAAACAUAGUGGCUUUGGAGACACACUAUGCCCACAGAACUAUUCCAACCCAUGGUCAGUGAAAGGCCCAGCCCUACCUGUAGAACAAAGCUUUGCAGUUUGUACCCAACAGUCAUAGCCAGGGACCCAGAACUAAUAAUCAGGACGUUUAGGCUGGGUGGAUAAAAAAUUGUUGGUGGAAAAUUUAAGAAAGAGUUAUCUUGUUUGUGUUUUUACAUUUUGGAGGAGUUGACAGAUAAAGACAAGGCUUGGGGGUAUUUCCAAUCACAAGGAGGUGCUUGGAGCUGGAGUUGAACCAGCGAACUUAGGAUCACAGCGUUUCACACAAGGAGCAUCUAACAGUCCACCGCUCUACCAACUGAGCUAUCAAGGUGGUCUCUAGUCACAACAGCACAAAACAUAGUGGCUUUGGAGACACACUAUGCCCACAGAACUAUUCCAACCCAUGGUCAAUGAAAAGCCCAGCCCGACCUGCAGAACAAAGCUUUGCAGUUUGUACCCAACAGUCAUUGUCAGGGACCCAGAACUAAUAAUGAGUACUUUUAAGGCUGGGUGAAAAAAAAAUUGUGGUUGAAAAUUUAAGAAAGAGUUAUGUUGUUUGUGUUUUUACAUUUUGGAGGAGUUGACAGAUAAAGACAAGGCUUGGGGGUAUUUCCAAUGACAAGGAGGUGCUUGGAGCUGGAGUUGAACCAGCGACCUUAGGAUCACAGCGUUUCACACAAGGAGCAUCUUACAGUCCACCGCUCUACCAACUGAGCUAUCAAGGUGCUCUAUAGUCACAACAGCAGAAAACAUAGUGGCUUUGGAGACACACUAUGCCCACAGAACUAUUCCAACCCAUGGUCAAUGAAAAGCCCAGCCCUACCUGUAGAACAAAGCUUUGCAGUUUGUACCCAACAGUCAUAGCCAGGGACCCAGAACUAAUAAUCAGGACGUUUAGGCUGGGUGGAUAAAAAAUUGUUGGUGGAAAAUUUAAGAAAGAGUUAUCUUGUUUGUGUUUUUACAUUUUGGAGGAGUUGACAGAUAAAGACAAGGCUUGGGGGUAUUUCCAAUGACAAGGAGGUGCUUGGAGCUGGAGUUGAACCAGCGACCUUGGGAUCACAGCGUUUCACACAAGGAGCAUCUUACAGUCCACCGCUCUACCAACUGAGCUAUCAAGGUGCUCUAUAGUCACAACAGCACAAAACAUAGUGGCUUUGGAGACACACUUUGCCCACAGAACUAUUCCAACCCAUGGUCAAUGAAAAGCCCAGCCCUACCUGUAGAACAAAGCUUUGCAGUUUGUACCCAACAGUCAUAGCCAGGGACCCAGAACUAAUAAUCAGGACGUUUAGGCUGGGUGGAUAAAAAAUUGUUGGUGGAAAAUUUAAGAAAGAGUUAUCUUGUUUGUGUUUUUACAUUUUGGAGGAGUUGACAGAUAAAGACAAGGCUUGGGGGUAUUUCCAAUCACAAGGAGGUGCUUGGAGCUGGAGUUGAACCAGCGAACUUAGGAUCACAGCGUUUCACACAAGGAGCAUCUAACAGUCCACCGCUCUACCAACUGAGCUAUCAAGGUGGUCUCUAGUCACAACAGCACAAAACAUAGUGGCUUUGGAGACACACUAUGCCCACAGAACUAUUCCAACCCAUGGUCAGUGAAAGGCCCAGCCCUACCUGUAGAACAAAGCUUUGCAGUUUGUACCCAACAGUCAUAGCCAGGGACCCAGAACUAAUAAUCAGGACGUUUAGGCUGGGUGGAUAAAAAAUUGUUGGUGGAAAAUUUAAGAAAGAGUUAUCUUGUUUGUGUUUUUACAUUUUGGAGGAGUUGACAGAUAAAGACAAGGCUUGGGGGUAUUUCCAAUCACAAGGAGGUGCUUGGAGCUGGAGUUGAACCAGCGAACUUAGGAUCACAGCGUUUCACACAAGGAGCAUCUAACAGUCCACCGCUCUACCAACUGAGCUAUCAAGGUGGUCUCUAGUCACAACAGCACAAAACAUAGUGGCUUUGGAGACACACUAUGCCCACAGAACUAUUCCAACCCAUGGUCAAUGAAAAGCCCAGCCCGACCUGCAGAACAAAGCUUUGCAGUUUGUACCCAACAGUCAUUGUCAGGGACCCAGAACUAAUAAUGAGAACUUUUAAGGCUGGGUGAAAAAAAAAUUGUGGUUGAAAAUUUAAGAAAGAGUUAUGUUGUUUGUGUUUUUACAUUUUGGAGGAGUUGACAGAUAAAGACAAGGCUUGGGGGUAUUUCCAAUGACAAGGAGGUGCUUGGAGCUGGAGUUGAACCAGCGACCUUAGGAUCACAGCGUUUCACACAAGGAGCAUCUUACAGUCCACCGCUCUACCAACUGAGCUAUCAAGGUGCUCUAUAGUCACAACAGCAGAAAACAUAGUGGCUUUGGAGACACACUAUGCCCACAGAACUAUUCCAACCCAUGGUCAAUGAAAAGCCCAGCCCUACCUGUAGAACAAAGCUUUGCAGUUUGUACCCAACAGUCAUAGCCAGGGACCCAGAACUAAUAAUCAGGACGUUUAGGCUGGGUGGAUAAAAAAUUGCUGGUGGAAAAUUUAAGAAAGAGUUAUCUUGUUUGUGUUUUUACAUUUUGGAGGAGUUGACAGAUAAAGACAAGGCUUGGGGGUAUUUCCAAUGACAAGGAGGUGCUUGGAGCUGGAGUUGAACCAGCGACCUUGGGAUCACAGCGUUUCACACAAGGAGCAUCUUACAGUCCACCGCUCUACCAACUGAGCUAUCAAGGUGCUCUAUAGUCACAACAGCACAAAACAUAGUGGCUUUGGAGACACACUUUGCCCACAGAACUAUUCCAACCCAUGGUCAAUGAAAAGCCCAGCCCUACCUGUAGAACAAAGCUUUGCAGUUUGUACCCAACAGUCAUUGUCAGGGACCCAGAACUAAUAAUCAGGACUUUUAGGCUGGGUGAAUAAAAAAUUGAUGGUUGAAAAUUUAAGAAAGAGUUAUCUUGUUUGUGUUUUUACAUUUUGGAGGAGUUGACAGAUAAAGACAAGGCUUGGGGGUAUUUCCAAUGACAAGGAGGUGCUUGGAGCUGGAGUUGAACCAGCGACCUUAGAAUCACAGCGUUUCAUACAAGGAGCAUCUUACAGUCCACUGCUCUACCAACUGAGCUAUCAAGGUGCUCUCUAGUCACAACAGCACAAAACAUAGUGGCUUUGGA